rnacentral:lncRNA from 12 species
UUGGUUUAAUACAUGUUUAUACAAUUACACAAUAUAGAAAUACAAUAUAGGAAAACAAUAUAGGAAGCACAAGGGGUUUAUAGGAUAUAUCUUGACCUUACCUGGAUCUUUUGCAACCUGCAGAAGGUACACAAAAUAGUACUUAUAAGUCAGCCUACAUUAAUUACAUGCAAAUAGCUCACCUCUGUUGUUGCAUCACAAGACAAGGUGAAAAGACAAGCAACUAGAUUUGCUUCAACAAACACCUGGCAAAUGUUGCCUAUAGAACAGAUUAGCUCUUCUCCAUCAUUUAUGGAAAAUAAUCCAGUAACAUCCCGUCAAACCUCAAAAGCCACACCCGUAGAAGUGCGGAUCUGUCAGUGUGUGUGUUCAGCAGCACUAGAGCACAUGGCUGGCACCCUCUUUGCAAUACUGGAUCCUCAGACCAUCAGAGCUUCAUCAGCCUCUCUCACCGUUUUGCACCUUCUCCCUAUUCAAGCUGAUGAGCAGCUUUUAUAAGAAAAAAUGCAUUUCUGCUGCCAACGAGGUGAGCCAAUUUGUAAAUGCAACUUACGCUGUCAAAAAACAGCUACUGGCUUUUUCUUUCAGAGGUUAGCCAUCAGAAGUAAUGAAAAUGUGUUGCAUUUUAA